AGCGGCGGACGGGUGAGUAACGCGUGGGUAACCUGCCUCAUACAGGGGGAUAACAGUUGGAAACGGCUGCUAAUACCGCACAAGCGCACAGUACCGCAUGGUACCGUGUGAAAAACUCCGGUGGUAUGAGAUGGACCCGCGUCUGAUUAGGUAGUUGGUGGGGUAACGGCCUACCAAGCCGACGAUCAGUAGCCGACCUGAGAGGGUGACCGGCCACAUUGGGACUGAGACAUGGCCCAA
rnacentral:rRNA from 1 species